AUUGAACGCUGGCGGCAGGCCUAACACAUGCAAGUCGAACGAGUGGCGGACGGGUGAGUACUGUCCGGGAACCUGCCUGAUGAUGGGGGAUAACUACUGGAAACGAUAGCUAAUACCGCAUCCCAUCGGCUGUGCCCCGAUGGGAUUAGCUAGUGGGGGGGGUAAAGGCUCACCGAGGCGGCGAUCCCUAGCUGGUCUGGGGGGCUGACCGGCCACACGGGACCUGAUACACGGUCCAGACUCCUACGGGAGGCAGCAGUGGGGAAUAUUGCACAAUGGGCGCAAGCCUUAUGCAGCCAUGCCGCGUGUAAGAAGAAGGCCUUCGGGUUGUAAAGUACGUUCAGCGGGGAGGCGUUACCCGCAGAAGAAGCACCGGCUAACUCCGUGCCAGCAGCCGCGGUAAUUC
rnacentral:rRNA from 1 species